GGGCAGAAUCACCCACUGAGUCCCAGACACAAACUGCAUGAGGGUCUACACAGGUAAGAAGGUCGGUCUCCGAGGCCUGGGGCUCCAGGCCCCCUCAGCUCUGGGACCCUGAGCCCAGCCCCUGUAUCCCUCUGCCCUCCCAAUGGACUCCAGGCCCCUGCUGGGCACACUCACACUGCACAGAGAGGUCCAGGGCUCGCUGCUGGGAGCCAAGCCUGUUCUCCGCUCGGCAGGUGUAGCGCCCUGAAUCCCCAGCCUUCACCCCGGGCAGCUCCAGCCCCAGGGGUCUAGGGCCCCAGGGAUGGGACGAGGAGAGGACUCUGUUCUGCAGGACCCAGCUCAGUGUGGCAGGGGGCUGGCUGUCAGCAGCACAGAGGAGCCGCAGGAACUGGCCUUUUUGGGCUUCCAGGGAAAAGAAAGUGGGACUAUCCCGGGAAGACAAGUGACAACCAGCGCCAGGGCUCACGUGUGUGGACCAGACGCCAUUCCCAUCCCCCUCCCAGGGCUGCGGCGGCAUCCUGGGACCCCACAGCUUCCUCUCCCUGGAUGCUCCUGAGCUGGGAGCCGCUCACUGUCCCACUGGGCUCCUCCACCUCCCCACCCACCGGGGCUGUCUGCACACCCCACCCUCCCAGGCCACACUCACAGGCCACACGGAGUCGGACGGUCCUCUGUGCGCUCACACCCUUUCUGGAGAAGUCCACAUGGCAGCUUCCUCUCUCCACCCGAAAGAAGUACUGUGACUCAUCCUGCAUCUGCGCGUCUCUGAUCACCAAGGAGCAGUUCCCCUUGGCGGGAUCCCCAGUGAGCUGGAAUCGGCCCCGGGUGCUCAUUUCCACCUCUCGACUCUGGUGGUUUGUGGCCACAGGAGCACCCUUGGUUGUCUCAGUCACUGCUUUGAACCAGUAGCCAUAAGCUGGGGUAGACCCUGUCCAGUCCUGUCGGGGGUAGGAGAAAGAGCAGGGCACAGAGAUGCACAGGCCCUCCGGCACCAUCACUGACUCCUGCACUCGUAUCCAGAAUCUCCCAUCCAUAGCCUGGGACCCUGUGGGGAGACAGAGGCUCAACCUGCAACCCCAGCCCUAGCUCCGCCCCAGGUCCUUUCCGGCCCUUGGCCCACUCACCGCCCAGCAGCGAGGACAGCAGCAGUGGCAGUAGCAUCUCCGCAUAGGAGGCGCAGGGCCUGCCUGAGACAGGCCUGUUCUCUGGUCGUGCUGUGAGUGGCUCAGGGCUCUUGGCAGAAGGGGAAGCCGAAGGCGGAAGCUGAGCCCUGGGGCCUGAUGCAUGAAAUGAGCUUCAGACGCUGAGCUCACAGAACUCCUUUGCCUUCCCCCACACUCUCCGGCCCACCUUGCCCAGUUGUCCUCUGGGUCUCCUGGGGGCCCAGCCUGGCCUUGGGCUUGUUGAGCUGGUCCUUCCAGAGCUCCCUGUGUAGGAGGAGAGGGCAGGCUUGUGUCUAUCCUGGGGGCCUGGCUGGGGGUGGGGUAGUGGGGUGGGGGCUCUCCCUCUGGGCCCUGGGUCAUCGGAAAAGCAGAAGUGAGAAGUCCACAGUGAGCUACCCUUAUCUGGGCCACUGGUGGUGGAGGUGGUGGGUACAGGGGAAGGGACCGUUACUGGAGGGGGCUGGUCUUGUCAGGUAAAAUGCAGGAUGCCUGGUUAAAGCUUUCACAGACAAUAUAAAGUAUUUUAUUUUAUGUUUUUUGGUAUAAGUAUGUCCGAAAUGCUGCAUGGGAUAUACUUAUACCAGAAAGCAAAAUAAAUUUAUCUGAAAUUCAAA
rnacentral:lncRNA from 1 species